UUGAAAAUGAAAUUUAAAAAAUAGGAGAAGGCUAGAUGUUGUCAUCCAAGAUGGAAGCAUAAUUCAUCAGACGCCACCUGGCCUCUACCUUCAGCAGAGUGACCGAAAAACAGUAGUCAGGUAUUGUAUUCUGCUACUUGGACGAAACCGCCUUUUUCCCCUUUUUUUCAUUGGGUUGCCCAUGAAUGAGGGGUACGCGCAUAAAAAAUGGCACAGCAAGUUGCUGUGCACUUAAUGAAGUCCACUAUUACGUUGAUGGUGGGCUUACCACUCCUAAUAGAUAAAUAAAGAAAACCAAAUUUAAUUUUCGUUAAUUAAAUUAAAUGCAAGAAGAAAUUGCAAAUUGUCAAAGCGAAGUAGAAAGUAUUUCGCCUGUUCAACCAACUUGAAAUAACGCCGAGGUUCAAACAGAGGUUUAUCACGAUUGUAACAAAGAUUUGGAAAUAUUGGAGCUACAACGAGAAAAGAGGCAACUCAAAGUUCGCAA